rnacentral:rRNA from 1 species
AUUGAACGCUGGCGGCAGGCCUAACACAUGCAAGUCGAGCGGAUGAAGGGAGCUUGCUCCUGGAUUCAGCGGCGGACGGGUGAGUAAUGCCUAGGAAUCUGCCUGGUAGUGGGGGAUAACGUCCGGAAACGGGCGCUAAUACCGCAUACGUCCUGAGGGAGAAAGUGGGGGAUCUUCGGACCUCACGCUAUCAGAUGAGCCUAGGUCGGAUUAGCUAGUUGGUGGGGUAAAGGCCUACCAAGGCGACGAUCCGUAACUGGUCUGAGAGGAUGAUCAGUCACACUGGAACUGAGACACGGUCCAGACUCCUACGGGAGGCAGCAGUGGGAAAUAUUGGACAAUGGGCGAAAGCCUGAUCCAGCCAUGCCGCGGGUGUGAAGAAGGUCUUCGGAUUGUACAGCACUUUAAGUUGGGAGGAAGGGCAGUAAGUUAAUACCUUGCUGUUUUGACGUUACCAACAGAAUAAGCACCGGCUAACUUCGU